ensembl:snRNA U6 U6 spliceosomal RNA
GUGCUCGCUUCGGCAGCACAUAUACUAAAAUUGGAACGAUACGGAGAAUGUUAGCAUGGCCCCUGCACCAGGAUGACAUGCACACUCGUGAGGUGUUCCGUAUCUUG